rnacentral:rRNA from 1 species
CCUACGGGUGGCAGCAGUGAGGAAUAUUGCUCAAUGGACGCAAGUCUGAACCAGCCAUGCCGCGUGCAGGAAGACGGCUUUCGGGAUGUAAACCUCUUUUAGGGGGGAAGAGCAGAAGACGGUACCCCUUGAAUAAGCCACGUCUAACUACGUGCCAGCAGCCGCGGUAAUACGUAGGUGGCAAGCGUUGUCCGGAUUUACUGGGUGUAAAGGGCGUGCAGCCGGGGAGACAAGUCAGAUGUGAAAUCCACGGGCUCAACCCGUGAACUGCUUUGGAAACUGUUUCCCUUGAGUGUCGGAGAGGUAAUCGGAAUUCCUAGUGUAGCGGUGAAAUGCGUAGAUAUUAGGAAGAACACCAGUGGCGAAGGCGGAUUACUGGACGAUAACUGACGGUGAGGCGCGAAAGCGUGGGGAGCAAACAGGAUUAGAUACCCGUGUAGUC